GAUAAACGCUGGCGGCGCACAUAAGACAUGCAAGUUGAACGGACUUAAUCGAAAUAUUUAUAUUUUGAAGCGGUUAGUGGCGGACUGGUGAGUAACGCGUAAGGAACCUGCCUAUUAGAGGGGAAUAACAGUGAGAAAUCAUUGCUAAUACCGCAUAUGCCAUAGAUAUCACAUGAUAACAGUGGGAAAGGAGCAAUCCGCUAAUAGAUGGCCUUGCGUCUGAUUAGAUAGUUGGUGGGGUAACGGCCUACCAAGUCGACGAUCAGUAGCCGGACUGAGAGGUUGAACGGCCACAUUGGGACUGAGAUACGGCCCAGACUCCUACGGGAGGCAGCAGUCGGGAAUAUUGCGCAAUGGAGGAAACUCUGACGCAGUGACGCCGCGUAUAGGAAGAAGGUUUUCGGAUUGGAAACUAUUGUCGUUAGGGAAGAGAAAGGACAGUACCUAAGGAGGAAGCUCCGGCUAACUACGUG
rnacentral:rRNA from 1 species